UGACCGAAGUACUCGAGUGCGCGGCGA
rnacentral:piRNA from 1 species